rnacentral:pre_miRNA from 2 species
UGCCUGCUGUGCUGAUAAUCAGUGUGUGACGUCGGCUGGCUCAGUUCAGCAGGAAC